UACGGAGGGUGCAAGCGUUGUCCGGAUUUAUUGGGUUUAAAGGGUGCGCAGGUGGCCUGGUAAGUCUGACCUGAAAGUGGGCCGCUCAACGGCACAGGGUGGUUGGAGACUGCCGGGCUUGAAGUGGCUGGAGGUUGCCGGAACGGAUGGUGUAGCGGUGAAAUGCAUAGAGAUCAUCCAGAACGCCGAUUGCGUAGGCAGGUGACCACGGCUGGCUUGACACUGAGGCACGAAAGCAUGGGGAGCAAACAGG
rnacentral:rRNA from 1 species